rnacentral:rRNA from 1 species
UUUUCGGAUGGAAGCAUAAACUUUAGCGGCGGACGGGUGAGUAACGCGUGGGUAACCUGCCUCAUACAGGGGGAUAACAGUUAGAAAUGACUGCUAAAACCGCAUAAGCGCACAUUGUCGAGUGACAGAGUGUGAAAAACUCCGGUGGUAUGAGAUGGACCCGCGUCUGAUUAGCUAGUUGGUGAGGUAACGGCCCACCAAGGCGACGAUCAGUAGCCGGCCUGAGAGGGCGACCGGCCACAUUGGGACUGAGACACGGCCCAAACUCCUACGGGAGGCAGCAGUGGGGAAUAUUGCACAAUGGGGGAAACCCUGAUGCAGCGACGCCGCGUGAGUGAAGAAGUAUUUCGGUAUGUAAAGCUCUAUCAGCAGGGAAGAAGAAAGACGGUACCUGACUAAGAAGCCCCGGCUAACUACGUGCCAGCAGCCGCGGUAAUACGUAGGGGGCAAGCGUUAUCCGGAUUUACUGGGUGUAAAGGGAGCGUAGACGGCUGUGCAAGUCUGAAGUGAAAGCCCAGGGCUCAACCCUGGGACUGCUUUGGAAACUGUGGAGCUAGAGUGCUGGAGAGGUAAGUGGAAUUCCUAGUGUAGCGGUGAAAUGCGUAGAUAUUAGGAGGAACACCAGUGGCGAAGGCGGCUUACUGGACAGUAACUGACGUUGAGGCUCGAAAGCGUGGGGAGCAAACAGGAUUAGAUACCCUGGUAGUCCACGCGGUAAACGAUGAAUACUAGGUGUUGGAGAGCAAAGCUUUUCGGUGCCGUCGCAAACGCAAUAAGUAUUCCACCUGGGG